rnacentral:rRNA from 1 species
AAGGGCGCACGGUGGAUGCCUUGGCACUAGGAGCCGAUGAAGGACGGGACUAACACCGAUAUGCUUCGGGGAGCUGUAAGUAAGCUUUGAUCCGGAGAUUUCCGAAUGGGGAAACCCGCUGCACGUAAUGGUGCAGUAUCCAUACUUGAAUACAUAGAGUAUGGAAGGCAGACCCGGGGAACUGAAACAUCUAAGUACCCGGAGGAAGAGAAAGCAAACGCGAUUCCCUGAGUAGCGGCGAGCGAAACGGGAUUAGCCCAAACCAAGAGGCUUGCCUCUUGGGGUUGUAGGACACUCUAUACGGAGUUACAAAGGAACGAAGUAGACGAAGAAGCUUGGAAAGGCUCGUCACAGAAGGUAAUAACCCUGUAGUCGAAACUUCGUUCCCUCUUGAGUGGAUCCUGAGUACGGCGGGACACGAGAAAUCCCGUCGGAAGCUGGGAGGACCAUCUCCCAAGGCUAAAUACUCCCUAGUGACCGAUAGUGAACCAGUACCGUGAGGGAAAGGUGAAAAGCACCCCGGAAGGGGAGUGAAAUAGAACCUGAAACCGUGUGCCUACAAGUAGUCAGAGCCCGUUAACGGGUGAUGGCGUGCCUUUUGUAGAAUGAACCGGCGAGUUACGAUCCCAUGCAAGGUUAAGUCGGAAAGACGGAGCCGCAGCGAAAGCGAGUCUGAAUAGGGCGAAUGAGUAUGUGGUCGUAGACCCGAAACCAGGUGAUCUACCCAUGUCCAGGGUGAAGUUCAGGUAACACUGAAUGGAGGCCCGAACCCACGCACGUUGAAAAGUGCGGGGAUGAGGUGUGGGUAGCGGAGAAAUUCCAAUCGAACCUGGAGAUAGCUGGUUCUCUCCGAAAUAGCUUUAGGGCUAGCCUCAUGUAGUAAGAGUCUUGGAGGUAGAGCACUGUUUGGACUAGGGGCCCUCAUCGGGUUACCGAAUUCAGACAAACUCCGAAUGCCAAAGACUUAUCCAUGGGAGUCAGACUGCGAGUGAUAAGAUCCGUAGUCGAAAGGGAAACAGCCCAGACCACCAGCUAAGGUCCCAAAGUAUACGUUAAGUGGAAAAGGAUGUGGAGUUGCUUAGACAACCAGGAUGUUGGCUUAGAAGCAGCCACCAUUUAAAGAGUGCGUAAUAGCUCACUGGUCGAGUGACUCUGCGCCGAAAAUGUACCGGGGCUAAACGUAUCACCGAAGCUGUGGAUUGACACCRUUWGGUGUCAGUGGUAGGAGAGCGUUCUAAGGGCUGAGAAGCUGGACCGUAAGGACUGGUGGAGCGCUUAGAAGUGAGAAUGCCGGUAUGAGUAGCGAAAGACAGGUGAGAAUCCUGUCCACCGAAUGCCUAAGGUUUCCUGAGGAAGGCUCGUCCGCUCAGGGUUAGUCGGGACCUAAGCCGAGGCCGAAAGGCGUAGGCGAUGGAUAACAGGUUGAUAUUCCUGUACCACCUCUUUUCCGUUUGAGUGAUGGGGGGACGCAGGAGGAUAGGGUAAGCGCGCUGYUGGAUAUGCGCGUCUAAGCAGUUAGGCUGGUGAUGAGGCAAAUCCCGUCACCGUGAAGGCUGAGCUGUGACAGCGAGGGAAAUAUAGUACCGAAGUUCCUGAUUCCACACUGCCAAGAAAAGCCUCUAGCGAGGAAAAAGGUGCCCGUACCGCAAACCGACACAGGUAGGCGAGGAGAGAAUCCUAAGGUGAGCGAGAGAACUCUCGUUAAGGAACUCGGCAAAAUGACCCCGUAACUUCGGGAGAAGGGGUGCUCUGGUAGGGUGCAAGCCCGAGAGAGCCGCAGUGAAUAGGCCCAGGCGACUGUUUAGCAAAAACACAGGUCUCUGCGAAGCCGUAAGGCGAAGUAUAGGGGCUGACGCCUGCCCGGUGCUGGAAGGUUAAGGGGAGUGCUUAGCGCAAGCGAAGGUGCGAACCGAAGCCCCAGUAAACGGCGGCCGUAACUAUAACGGUCCUAAGGUAGCGAAAUUCCUUGUCGGGUAAGUUCCGACCCGCACGAAAGGCGCAACGAUCUGGGCACUGUCUCAACGAGAGACUCGGUGAAAUUAUAGUACCUGUGAAGAUGCAGGUUACCCGCGACAGGACGGAAAGACCCCGUGGAGCUUUACUGUAGCCUGAUAUUGAAUUUUGGCACAGCUUGUACAGGAUAGGUAGGAGCCUUGGAAACCGGAGCGCCAGCUUCGGUGGAGGCGUCGGUGGGAUACUACCCUGGCUGUGUUGAACUUCUAACCCGCGCCCCUUAUCGGGGUGGGAGACAGUGUCAGGUGGGCAGUUUGACUGGGGCGGUCGCCUCCUAAAGAGUAACGGAGGCGCCCAAAGGUUCCCUCAGAAUGGUUGGAAAUCAUUCGCAGAGUGUAAAGGCACAAGGGAGCUUGACUGCGAGACCUACAAGUCGAGCAGGGACGAAAGUCGGGCUUAGUGAUCCGGUGGUUCCGCAUGGAAGGGCCAUCGCUCAACGGAUAAAAGCUACCCCGGGGAUAACAGGCUUAUCUCCCCCAAGAGUCCACAUCGACGGGGAGGUUUGGCACCUCGAUGUCGGCUCAUCGCAUCCUGGGGCUGUAGUCGGUCCCAAGGGUUGGGCUGUUCGCCCAUUAAAGCGGUACGCGAGCUGGGUUCAGAACGUCGUGAGACAGUUCGGUCCCUAUCCGUCGUGGGCGCAGGAAAUUUGAGAGGAGCUGUCCUUAGUACGAGAGGACCGGGAUGGACGCACCGCUGGUGUACCAGUUGUCUUGCCAAAGGCAUCGCUGGGUAGCUAUGUGCGGAAGGGAUAAGUGCUGAAAGCAUCUAAGCAUGAAGCCCCCCUCGAGAUGAGAUUUCCCAUCACUUUAUGUGAGUAAGAUCCCUGAAAGAUGAUCAGGUAGAUAGGUCUGAGGUGGAAGCGUGGCGACACGUGCAGCUGACAGAUACUAAUCGAUCGAGGACUUAACCAC